rnacentral:tRNA from 1 species
GGAGAGGUGCCAGAGUGGCUGAUUGGGGCGGUCUCGAAAACCGUUGUUCUCCUUGUGAGGACCGAGGGUUCGAAUCCCUCCCUCUCCG